rnacentral:rRNA from 1 species
UACGGAGGAUCCAAGCGUUAUCCGGAUUUAUUGGGUUUAAAGGGUGCGUAGGCGGCUUAUUAAGUCAGGGGUGAAAGACGGUGGCUCAACCAUCGCAGUGCCUUUGAUACUGAUGAGCUUGAAUGAACUAGAGGUAGGCGGAAUGUGACAAGUAGCGGUGAAAUGCAUAGAUAUGUCACAGAACACCAAUUGCGAAGGCAGCUUACUAAAGUGAGAUUGACGCUGAGGCACGAAGCGUGGGGAUCAAACAGG